CCCCCCCCCCAAUAACAUUCAUUUUUACCAGAUGCACUGGUAAACUAUCUGCACUUCAGUGACCACAAAUGUUAAUACAAAGUUCAAUGAGAAUCUUUUCCAUCAACGUUGAUAAGCCAAGUCUGGAGGAGGCACAGCUCACUUUGAGACUUGCAUACAUUUUGAGUACUUGUGAAAUCGUCUGAUAACCACAGACUGCUUAAUGCAGAAAGCCCUGCCCACCAAGGCCAAUUCUGAAUCUGAAUAGCCUGGGGGUGAGGUUGUAACCAAUGGUUACAGGUCAUCAUCUUGUGCUAACGGCUCAGAACACUGAGGGCCAAAUUAUUUAGGGUUAACAUCUGAAGCAAGACCCAAGGACUGGCACUGGGGUGGGACAAAGAGUUUCGGAGUAACAUGUAUACUAUCCAUACAGAUUGGAAGGGAAAUUGCCUUUCCUUUAUUGAAGUAUUCAAUAGAUAUUGUGAAGCUUCAGGUGUGGGCUGAUACAUUAUUGAAUAAUAGGGACUUGGAAAUGUCUUUAUGAUUGUCAGUUACAGCACGAGAGAACAUUUGAUGUUCUGCCAUUAAGUUUGACAAUGGCCUUUUGAAAAUGUUGUAAUUGAAAAUGUGUAUUUUACACAAACGACCAUUCAAAUAAGCCUCAGCACCAAGCUGAAAAAUAACAAGAAAGCAACAAAUGUAGCUGAUGUCACUCCUUCAACCUCCCUGUGCCCAGUCUCCAAUCCCCAGGUCCAUUGUCUACACUCAACAGGCAACUUGAAACCACACAGAAAUUGCUGUCGGUGCUGGAAAUGUAACAUUUCUAAACACUGGAAUUGUGCUUUUUUUUUUUAACAGACACACAGUACUUCCACACACUGGAGAAAUGUAUGGGGGCAGUUUUUCCAUGAAGAACAAUAUUUAGCGUGUAAGCUUUUAAAACUAUAGGCCAGGUGACCAGCUGGUGGAGUUUCUUUGGUCCCACACUUUCAGCUUUGGAUUGGAAAUAUACACAACUGCUACCUAGAUUGUAACGUGGGUGUAUAUUUCAAAGUCACUGUUUAAAAAUGUGCGGAUGUAACAAAUGUAUUGUUACCUUUGGUCAAAAGCAAGGUCCAUGAUAUGAAACAGUCUUGUACUUCAUGUGUCAUCAAGGCAGGUUCUAGGCAUAAGCAACUUAAGCGGUCGCAUAGGGCCCUGGACCGCUAGGGGAGGGGGCCCCAAAUAAAUUUAGCUUGGGGCCCCCAAAAGGCUAGAGGCGGCCCUGUGUGUCAUAUACUGUAUAAAAUGUCAAACAAGCCUGUACAUCUGUAUGAGUAGAAUUAUGGUUAAUUACCAGAUUGUUGGUUGAUUACCAGAAAACCCUACCAAAGUGGAAUGGAAUGAAGGACACUUAACGGGAAUAGUGGAGAACCUUCUAAUUGCAGCAUAGUCACAUCAGUGUAUACCAAACCUCUCACUACUGCUGCUCAACAAGCCAGGCC
ensembl:lncRNA